UUGACCUCGGAUCAGGUAGGAAUACCCGCUGAACUUAAGCAUAUCAAAUAAGCGGAGGACCUGUGUGAAUG
rnacentral:rRNA from 1 species